rnacentral:rRNA from 1 species
UACGGAGGGUGCGAGCGUUGUCCGGAAUUAUUGGGCGUAAAGAGCUUGUAGGCGGUUUGUCGCGUCUGCUGUGAAAUUCCAGGGCUUAACCCUGGGCUUGCAGUGGGUACGGGCAGACUAGAGUGUGGUAGGGGAGACUGGAAUUCCUGGUGUAGCGGUGAAAUGCGCAGAUAUCAGGAGGAACACCGAUGGCGAAGGCCGGUCUCUGGGCCACUACUGACGCUGAGAAGCGAAAGCAUGGGGAGCGAACAGG